rnacentral:rRNA from 1 species
AACGAACGCUGGCGGCGUGCCUAACACAUGCAAGUCGAACGAGAAAGAGGGCUUCGGCCCUUGAGUAAAGUGGCGCACGGGUGAGUAACACGUAGACAACCUGCCUUCCGGCCUGGGACAACCUUUCGAAAGAAGGGCUAAUACCGGAUAAGACAUUGGAUCACAUGAUCGGGUGUUGAAAGGAGCAAUUCACCGGAAGAGGGGUCUGCGGGACAUUAGCUUGUUGGUGAGGUAACGGCUCACCAAGGCUGCGAUGUCUAGCGGGUCUGAGAGGAUGGUCCGCCACACUGGAACGUGAGACACGGUCCAGACUCCUACGGGAGGCAGCAGUGGGGAAUUUUGCGCAAUGGGCGAAAGCCUGACGCAGCAACGCCGCGUGGGUGAAGAAGGCUCUUGGGUCGUAAAGCCCUUUUCCGGGAGAAGAGACUGACGUACCCCGGAAUAAGCACCGCUAACU